rnacentral:rRNA from 1 species
UACGUAGGGUGCGAGCGUUAAUCGGAAUUACUGGGCGUAAAGCGUGCGCAGGCGGUUUUGUAAGCCAGAUGUGAAAUCCCCGGGCUCAACCUGGGAAUGGCAUUUGGGACUGCAAGGCUGGAGUGCGGCAGAGGAGACUGGAAUUCCUGGUGUAGCAGUGAAAUGCGUAGAUAUCCGGAAGAACACCAAAGGCGAAGGCAGCAUCCUGGGAAGUACCUGACGCUCAGAUGCGAAAGCCAGGGGAGCGAACGGG